rnacentral:lncRNA from 1 species
UUCUCCUUCAUAGUCUGCCCAUCCGUCCUUGAUGAUUUGACUCCUCUGGUUGCGGUUGCGUCGUUUUCUGACCUGCUUAGAGUCUUCAACGAUAUAGUUAGGGUCAGUAAAAUAGCGGCGUACCUUCUCUGAGGGGAAGUGCAUAUGGACUUCUCCGGUUCCAAUGUAGAUUAUUGCUUUAACGGUGCUGAGGAACGGUCUUCCAAGGAUGAUGGGUGG